GAGUCACCUAAGCGAGGGUGGGUUGUCAAUACCAAGUUCAUCUAUGAUGGACCAUAUGAGAAAUCUAGAGUCAGUGUUUAAAGCAAUGAACGAAGAUGGCUUGCUCAUUACAAAUGAUUUUGUAAAAACUCACAUUGAGCAUGCUUCGAAAAUUCAUUGCGACAUUAAAGUGAAAAAAUUAUUUUUCAGGGCAAGAAUGUUCUUUAAAAUAAGAAAAUUAAAUAAAGAACUCAUUGAAAAUGCCCACAAGAAAAGAAGAAAAAUUAAAAAAACUCUGGCUUAGAUUCAUAUGGUACCAUUAUAAAUUGUAAGUACGUACUAAAAACAUACGCAUGCAGCAACGUCCGCAGUUCCCGCAAAGUAAGCUCAAUGUUUAAGCCGCCUAAAAUUAUAAGGCAUGGAUGCAACGUAAGCCUAUGAGUUUAACAAAUAAUCUGGCAUCUUGUAUAAAAAAAUAUCCAUAUUUAUUUAUUUGCAGGAGAAUAACAUGAAUGAAUCAAAGGCCCUUUUCAGGGCCGCCAA